rnacentral:rRNA from 1 species
UGGUUGUCGUCAGCUCGUGUCGUGAGAUGUUGGGUUAAGUCCCGCAACGAGCGCAACCCUUAAGCUUAGUUGCCAUCAUUAAGUUGGGCACUCUAGGUUGACUGCCGGUGACAAACCGGAGGAAGGUGGGGAUGACGUCAAAUCAUCAUGCCCCUUAUGAUUUGGGCUACACACGUGCUACAAUGGACAAUACAAAGGGCAGCUAAACCGCGAGGUCAUGCAAAUCCCAUAAAGUUGUUCUCAGUUCGGAUUGUAGUCUGCAACUCGACUGCAUGAAGCUGGAAUCGCUAGUAAUCGUAGAUCAGCAUGCUACGGUGAAUACGUUCCCGGGUCUUGUACACACCGCCCGUCACACCACGAGAGUUUGUAACACCCGAAGCCGGUGGAGUAACCAUUUAUGGAGCUAGCCGUCGAAGGUGGGACAAAUGAUUGGGGUGAAGUCGUAACAAGGUAGCCGUAUCGGAAGGUGCGGUUGGAUCACCUC